AUCUUCUGUUCCACUUCUUGCUGAGUCUCUUUCUUCAUCUUGUUCAAUGCUGCUGAUAUCUCAGCCCUUGCAGCCUUCAUAAUUGCAGCAGCUUGGUCUUCCAGUUGCUUCACUUCAGUAGAUGUGUCCUUUACACUGCUAAGUUUCUCCUUAAUAGCAGAAUCUCUUUCAUCCAUGAAUUUCCCUAAUGGGCUGAAGUAAAUCUUGUCUAAAGCAAACAUGAGAAACAGGAAUUCAGCCAUCAUGGUGGGAAGUGUCAAGUUGAAGUCAAAAAGGGAAGCUUUUUCAAUUUCUUCUGCUAGUGAAGGUGGUGCAAUAGCCAAUGAGCUUGCAAGAAUGACUGAAAUGGACUUGAGAGUUGAUGGGAUUGAGAGGGUUUCAAGGGAUUUGGGUGAUCUGGGGAGGGGUAGUUUUGGAAAAGGGAUUUGGGUGAGGGAAAGUUUGAAUCUUGGAGAUGAAGGGAUGGUGGAGGAUGAAGAAGUGAUUAAGGCUUUGGAGGAGCUCAUAAUCAUGUUGGCCAUGGCUUCUUAGAACUUGGGAUUUUUUUUAGAGGAUUUGAUUCUUGAUUUUAUUUUUCUUGGUGGUUUUAGAAGGGAAGAAGGAAAAUCUUAGAAAGGCUAUCUCAAUCUAUGCCACACAUAUUGAUGAGGCUGAGAUGGAUGUGCAACUAACUGGUCCUUUUCUUUUUUCUGAGAGUUUUUCUUUUAGUAUUUCUAUAUAACCAAAGGCAUUGGCAUUUGAUAUGCACAAAAGGUAAUUGGCUGGUAAGUAGCCUUUUGGUUUUAUUCACUAAGGAGUAACUGAAAGUUUGUGAAAUAUUAUGCACAAGUUAAUUCAUAUACCAAUUUUGUAACCUGGAUUUAAGUCACUUUUUAUGCUAACAGUGUAGUUUAACCUUGGAUGAUAGGUUAGUUAAUGUUUUUAUGUGAUUAUCAACUAAUGCUUAUCGUAUAUGAGCAUUUUUUUUACACCGUCAAGGCAUAAGAAGUUAAACUUUUUCUUAAUAACCAUGGAGAUCCCAAACCAGAUGGAUUUGCUCUUUCCAAUGAGGCAAUGACCAAGAGAUAUUAGUGCAUUUGUGUUCUUAGGCAAAAUGAUGAAAAUCAAGAUUUGAUUACACACAACCUAGAAAAUAGUGUACAUGGAGAGGGAAUUGGUGGGGGGGGGGGGUGCUCUUUUACACAAUCCCAAGAGUUUUUUUUAUGCCAAACCCCAUGUAAAAUCAUGUUGCACAACUAAUUGACUGUCAUCUGCAAAUGAGGAAAUGGAAAAGAUGAUACAAAUUACUAAUUUUCUAUCAACUAGAGGUGAAUGCUUUCCAUUCAUGUGAUCGCGAUGCACUGCUCUUCUGUUUUAUUCUGCUCUCUGGGUUUGCCAACUUGUAUGGGAACCACCCUCUUAACAAAUGAACCAACCUGGAUUCACAAAUAGCUACAACACACCUGUUGUCAUUAAAAUUAGUUUGAUGGUUCUUUAAUAAAUCAUCUUGAUGGUGAUUACCCUUCCGUUCACCUCUCUUUUGUCUGCUUCCACAGCCUUUGGGUCUGCAUAAAUGCAUUUAUAAAGAGGAUAUUACCUAAACUGCUCUUACAAGUUACAGUGCGUCUAUGCAAGACAAAUUCAUACAUAUAGUCAAACAUUUCAUAAAUAUAUGCAUUAAACUCUGCAACACUACGUCCAUUCUUCCAAUUCUUCUGCAUUAUGACACAAAUUAAAGUAAUACAGCCAGGUUUAUAUCAGUAUGAUGAUGAGCAGUAUUGGAAAAUAUCGGCAUAGAAACUAUAAAUGGAACAUAUAUAUGUCAAUGUUCAGCAUAGAAACUAUAAACGGGAACACCUAGAUGAACAAGAUCCAACUUUUAUAACCAAAAGUCAAACAACUAAGGCCUAGUGUCUGCAUUAUAUGGAAGAAUCAAGCAUUGAUAGCAAAGCAAUAGGGUGAAGGGCAAUAUUAGAACAGAUGAACGGACAAUAAUGACGAAGCCAGUAAACAGAACUUACAUGCUUGGUUUCAUUUUCAUGAGGGUCCUCUCUCUGAUCACGUUUUGACCAGAUUGUAACUAAUGGAGACAUGCAUCAUAAAUGUGAGCUGCACAUGCAAAAACAUCAAGAAUUAACGAGCUAAGGAAAUGUUCAAACAGUUCCACUUGUGCUUCAUAGAGGAAAAUGUACAUAUCUCAUUAGGUUGGAAGAUAUCCAUAUAAAAUCUCCAAAAGAAAGUUCUUAAAACUUAUAUAAACAGAGUUCUCUGCUUUGGCCCUUAUCUUUACUUGUAAGUGAUAAUCUGUUGCCUUUUGGUUUGGUAGAAUCAUAUGAACCAGAAUUCUCUGGAGCCUUAGUAAUUGAACCUGCUUUUACAUGUCUCUCAUCAGACCAUAUGCACCGCUUUUUAGUUUCCAAUCAAAUACUCCUACAUCGAAACAAUAAAAAUGCAAAUCGGAACAAUAAGAGCCAAAAUUCUGACUUAUAAGCUCCAUCUGUACCAGUCCACACACAUUCAACUGCAAAAUGACAUAAUCCUGAUUCAUCUAAGAAAAAAAAGUUUCUUCAAAGCCUGGACAUAAGAUGGACUGGAACUAUUGGAAUGUGGUUUCUAAUCUAAUAAUCUCUUUUUACAGAUUGCAUAUUUCAGUGCAUUAGCAACAAGCAACAUCAGCAAACCAUAUAAAGAUUAGAUAAAAGAAAACUUUCCAAAACAAUACAAUGAAUUGAGAAGAAACCUUAUCACCAUCCUUGAUCCAAUAGGUUCCUAACAAAUUAAUAUCAGUAAGUAGCUUCUGCCCAUCACAGCCCAAGCAACAAUGUCCCCGUAUAUGUCAACUGCAAGAGCAUCACAACAACAACAAAGAAAAAAACCAACAUAACAACGUGAUCACACCAAAUCUCAUCAUAUAAAUGAGACUUUUCGUGGUUACAUAACAAUGGAUUUGAUGAUAUGAUAUAAUGAACAAUCAAAAUAAACAUUUGUAUUUAAACUAACAACACGGUACAAUAUUACAUGUAAGAAGCAUCCAUCCAAACAAGCUGUUAACUCUUACCAAUCCCAAGAAAAAGACAUUACAACUUUUCAGAAUUAGUUACUGACAGGAAGGACUUUCUUGACAAUCUCAUCACUAAGGGCAGCAAUCUGAGAAUCAAGACUCUUGAUUGUCUCCUCCUUUUGACUCUCUAAGCUAGCCAAAGCUUCUUGCAAUUCAGCCUCAACUUUCUUCCUUCCUUCUGCAAUCUUCUGCUCUACUUCUUGCUGAGUCUCUUUCUUCAUCUUGUUCAAUGCUGCUGAUAUCUCAGCCCUUGCAGCCUUCAUAAUUGCAGCAGCCUGGUCUUCCAGUUGCUUCACUUCAGCAGAGGUGUCCUUCACACUGCUCAAUUUCUCCUUAAUGGCAGAAUCUCUUUCAUCCAUGAAUUUCCCUAAUGGGCUGAAGUAAAUCUUGUCUAAAGCAAACAUGAGAAAGAGGAAUUCAGCCAUCAUG
rnacentral:lncRNA from 1 species